AUCCAGCUGACGAGUCCCAGACAGGAUGAAAUUUGCAACCUGGAU
rnacentral:hammerhead_ribozyme from 1 species